GGGGAUUCCUCAACUAUUGCCCUUCCUGGCACCCCAGGGCCUCCAGGCCCAGCUGGACCCCAAGGCCCGCCAGGUGCCCCAGGUCCUGCUGGACCAGCUGGUCUCCCUGGACAGCAAGGUCCACGUGGUGAGGCAGGGUUCACAAGUGAAACCAUUGUGGAAACUAUCAAAGCAGAAGUUGCAUCUCAAGUAUUGGCAAGUGCAGGAGAACGAUUAGGGCUUCCCGGUCCUCC
rnacentral:lncRNA from 1 species